ACGGAAGGCAGCAGUGAGGAAUAUUGGUCAAUGGGCGAGAGCCUGAACCAGCCAAGUCGCGUGAAGGAUGAAGGUUCUAUGGAUUGUAAACUUCUUUUGUUCGAGGGUAAAGUGAGGGAUGCGUCCCUUAUUGCAAGUAUCGAACGAAUAAGCAUCGGCUAACUCCGUGCCAGCAGCCGCGGUAAUACGGAGGAUGCGAGCGUUAUCCGGAUUUAUUGGGUUUAAAGGGUGCGUAGGCGGGAUGUUAAGUCAGCGGUGAAAGCGUGUAGCUCAACUAUACCAAGCCGUUGAAACUGGCGUUCUUGAGUGUAAACGAGGUAGGCGGAAUGUGACGUGUAGCGGUGGAAUGCUUAGAUAUGUCACAGAACCCCGAUUGCGAAGGCAGCUUACCAGCAUACAACUGACGCUGAGGCACGAAAGUGCGGGGAUCAAACAGGAUUAGAUACCCUGGUA
rnacentral:rRNA from 1 species